UGAGAGAUCUUAAGGGUAAUCAGUUGUGC
rnacentral:piRNA from 1 species